GACGAACGCUGGCGGCGUGCCUAAUACAUGCAAGUCGAACGCAGUGGGGAUAGGGGAUUAACACGUGGGUAACCUCCCAUCAGAGGGGAUAACACUUGGAAACAGGUGCUAAACCGAUACUGGAGGAUGGAGCCGCGGGGCAUUAGCUAGUGGGUGAGGUAAAGGCGCACCAAGGCCACGAGGCAUAGCGGGCCUGAGAGGUUGACCGGCCACACUGGAACUGAGACACGGCCCAGACUCCUACGGGAGGCAGCAGUAGGGAAUAUUCGGCAAUGGACGAAAGUCUGACCGAGCAAGGCCGCGUGAGUGAAGAAGGUUUUCGGAUCGUAAAACUCUGUUGUUAGAGAAGCGGUAUCUAAACAGAAAGCAACGGCUAACUACGUGCCAGCAGCCGCGGUAAUAC
rnacentral:rRNA from 1 species